AGUGCUGGGGUGUAUAUAAGCAGUCCUCCCUGGGUUUCCGGGGUCCCCGUAGCAUCGAGGUGUUCCUGAAAUAAAAAAGGCUGUUGAGAAGAAUUCGACCAUGUUGCGUUUUUUCUUGCUGGACCAGGUGAGCGCAACAGCAGACCAAGACAACAGACCAUCAGGGCCUUCUUUGCUUCUGUGAGUUUCAAGCAGCUGCCUGACCUCUGAGGGCAGUUCCUGUAAAAUGGGCUGCACUGUACUCCCUAGAGAGAUUUGGCCUGAUCAAAUCAAAGUCCGGGAGAGAGGGAGAGAAAACUGCACUCUUAGCAGGUCAUUCGUUCAGGGAUGGCUUCAGAGCAGUGUGGCUUGGCGUUGGGGAGACUUCCUUCAGCCACUGUGGAAGCAGCAGCUGCCAGAGGCGUCCAUGGCAAGAGAGAUGCCCUAGGUUCCAGGCUUUGGAAGAAGGAAGGCUGCAUACCCACAGGAAGAUUCUCCAGGACCUGGGAAACAGCCCCCAACCUCCCCUCCCCACCAAGGAAAGGGCCAAGCUGAAUCAAGCCCUGUAACCCUACAAGUAGAAGGUACUACAGC
rnacentral:lncRNA from 1 species